rnacentral:rRNA from 1 species
UACAGAGGGUGCAAGCGUUAAUCGGAAUUACUGGGCGUAAAGCGCGCGUAGGUGGAUUAGAAAGUUGGAUGUGAAAUCCCCGGGCUUAACCUGGGAACUGCAUUCAAAACUCCUAGUCUAGAGUACAGGAGAGGGAAGUGGAAUUUCUGGUGUAGUGGUGAAAUACGUAGAUAUCAGAAGGAACAUCAAUGGCGAAGGCAACUUCCUGGACUGAUACUGACACUGAGGCGCGAAAGCGUGGGGAGCAAACAGG